rnacentral:lncRNA from 1 species
AAACAAAGUUAUAUGAAAAAUUGAUUCCCUGCAUUAUAAUUUAUUGUCCCAGUUCAAUUGACACUGAAUAAUAAAGAAUUUGCCAUUUUUCGUCUGCAGAAAAAAAUGACCGCCAAAGUCAAACAUUCUUAUUACCAGUGGUUGGAUAUUGUACAUACCUAUCAUAUAGAUAUGCCAAAAACUAUUUCUCUGAAGCUACUAAAAAAGAUAAGACCCAAACUUUAAAGUCUCAUGAUGGUCAAAAUUGCAAGGAACACACCACUUCGUGAUAACCAUCUGAUAUACCAAAGAUGUAAGAACAAGGUCAAAAGUUAUGGGUUGGUCAUUUUCAUGCAAAAAAACUACAUUAAGUUGACUUUAUGGUUAAAUUGAGAACACAUGAAGGUCAUCAUGGUGCAACACACAUUAUCUGAUGAUGAUUCAUCUACAUACCUAAGAUCUAAGGCCAAGGUCAAAAGACAACAAGGCAUGGUAAAGUGUUUAUAUUAAAAAGUAAAAUUGACCUUGAGGUCAAAUAUAAGGUCACAUGAAGAUCAUCACAAUACAGGACACUCCAUCUCAUUAUUAUACAUCCCCAUACAAAAGAUGCAAGACCUAUGUCAAAGGACAAAAAAAACGCAUAUGGCCUUGUCUUUUUAAUUCUAUCAAAACAUACAUUUAUUUGACCUUGAGGUCAAAGUACAAGGUCACAUGAAGUCAUCAUGAAAUGUGACACUCUACCUCAUGAUGAUACAUCAACAUACAAAAUAUCUAAGCCCUAGGUCAAAAGACAAGAAAACAAUGCCCCAAUUAUAUUAUCAGAAUGGAAAUUGCUCUUAUUUAUUGAGGGUGGUGGUAAUAUAAAAAAAUUAAAUUGAAAAAAAUCUGGUGGUUAAAAGUUUAUAAUAUUUCACAAAUUUAACAAAAUAAUAUAGCAGAACAAGUGGUUAGUUUUUAAAAAAAAUUAAACGACACAUUUUUUUUUUUUUUUAAUUUUGUCUUCAAAUACUGGACCCCAAAAAGUCACUUUUGCGUGCGGAAUUUAAGAACCCCCUUUUUUAAUUCGGACAAAAAUUUAAAUCCAGAACAAAAAAAAUACAAGCAAAAGGAACUGGUGAACUAAUAUUUGUCUUAGUUUUCACUAUUAACUAUGCUUUUGUCAAUUUAGGAUCAUUUUUAAUUUUUUUUAACAUAUAUACCCCUAUACCC